AUGAACUUGGGGUAUGACAAGCACCUGUUUUUACUAGAUCUGAAUAGCAUGGACAUGUCACGAACCUCAUCUUUUUUUCAGUCUGUUCUGCAUGCAUGGAGCACUGUGUUAGCAGUGAACAGGGACUGUUCCUGCUUUUAUGGGAGUGCCUUGGAGGAACCUCUCCUCUUCAAUCCCUUGGUGCAGUGCAAAAGUUUUUCAUCUGCUAGCGUGCGAGGGCUGCUAAUAAGUGCUGGGCUGACAAGGAUGGCAGGAUUAACAUCAGCAGGGAGCUGGAAAUUUCACACACUGUCUGACAAAACUGGGAUCAAGUCAGUGCAUUUUUUAGAGAGACUGAUUGAGGAAGUGAGGGCAGGUCUACCUGGGCCUUCCAGAGAGGCCUUGGGAGUAACAUCAGUUGGGGACCUGCCGGCCUUGAUGGGGCCUGCUUUCCCCUCAUUGGCCAUUCGAGCUGCUGUGGAGGAGCAGGGAAAAGAGGAUGGAGUCCUGCUAUCAUUGAAGACACCAGAACUAACAGACUUUGCAUCAACGCCAAGAAAAGAUCUUUACCUGGUGACUAUGAAGGUACUUAACAAACCCUCCCUAGAUGGUGUGCCAGAGUCGAAGUGGUCGGGUGUGUUGCCACCAGGGUCCUCCCCCAGGGUCAGUUGGAGAUCCCUGUAUAAGCCUCCUGUAGAGAAGCGUACUGCAGAUCUACAGUGGAGGAUUAUACAUGGGGCCGUGGCUACAAACAGACAUGUGGCACGUUUUGAUAGGAGGGUGAGCGCUCAGGAGGACCUGCAGCAUCUUUGGCUCGGUUGUCCUGGACUGAGGCCUCUACUCUCUCUGCUGCAGCAGUGGGUUGUGGGAAUUGAGCAGGUCCUGGAUAAUAAAGGUUUUAUCUUUGGACCUGUUUACAGCGCAUCACAAGGUAAACACACAUGCUUGGUCAACUUGCUCAUUGGUCAGGCAAAGAUGAGUAUUUGGCUCACAAGGAGAAAUGAAAUGAAAGGGACUGGUUGUAUCGCUGAGCUCCUGUUCAGGAAGUUGGUGACGGCACGUGUGAAGGUCGAAUUUGGUUAUUAUAAACUAGUGUCAGACCUCGAGAGCUUUGUUUUGGUUUGGGGAUAUACAGUAAUGGAGUUUUGUGUUCAGUGUUUCAAGACCUUCUUGUUCUGA
rnacentral:lncRNA from 1 species